AAAUGCGAUAAGUAAUGUGAAUUGCAGAACUCAGUGAACCAUCGAAUCUUUGAACGCACAUUGCGCCCCCUGGCACUCCGGGGGGCACGCCUGUCCGAGCGUCAUCUCAAACCCUCAGGCUGUAGCCUGGUCGUGGGGGAGAGGCGCCCGCUUCGCGGCGGGUGCUCCCCUGAAACGUAGCGGCGACCUCGGGGUCCUGCGGAGAGCGAGCGAGGCGCAGGCCGUCGCAAUUCCGCCGGGGCCGAGGGAUCAACCCCUCUCUGUAGAUGGGAGAGAAGCGACCUUGACCUCGGAUCAGGCGGGGACACCCGCUGAACUUAAGC
rnacentral:misc_RNA from 1 species